rnacentral:lncRNA from 1 species
GUAUAGUUGAUUUCUCUUGACUUAGAAUGUUUUAUUCUACAUUUUGUCAUCGACUUUUUUACUAUCAAUCUUUGCUCAGUUUUGCAAUGAUGAGGCUGACAUUAGAGUCAAUCAAAUCAACCCUGAAGAAGAGAUUGGGGUCCUCUAGGGGGAGCCUUCAUCCAAAAAGUAGAAGAAGUCUAGAUCGGUGACUUCUUCUUUGAUCAUCGUGCUCUUGUUGGAGACUUUGAGCUCAGAGCUGGUGG